CAAUUAAAGCAGCCACGAUCCGCCCGCGGGAGAUUGUGAAGGUCCGAAGCCCUUGUAAAUGCUGACGGGUUG
rnacentral:ribozyme from 2 species